UACGAAGGGGGCAAGCGUUGUUCGGAAUUACUGGGCGUAAAGCGCGCGUAGGCGGAUUGGUAAGUCAGGGGUGAAAUUCCCGGGCUCAACCUCGGGGCUGCGUUUGAUACUGCUGAUCUCGAGUCCGGAAGAGGAGAGUGGAAUUCCUAGUGUAGAGGUGAAAUUCGUAGAUAUUAGGAAGAACACCAGUGGCGAAGGCGGCUCACUGGUCCGGUACUGACGCUGAGGUGCGAAAGCGUGGGGAGCAAACAGG
rnacentral:rRNA from 1 species